CACAAAUUACAACAACUACACCACCAACUACCACCACACAAACCACCGUUCCCUCAACAACUACCCCACUAGGUACAACCACAAUGAAUGAAACCACUAAUGUUUCUUCUACACCAACUACACCAACUACAGCAGCAAGUCACCCACCUGGUACUACACCUGACCAAACAACACCUGUAACCGAAGCCUCGAACCAAAUUGUUGCAGCUCUGAAAAUAAGGAUUACCUCUACGUCUCCCCUGUCUGAGGACCACAUCAGGAAUACUGGCCUACAACAGAUUAAAGAUGAACUGGUGAGACGAGGGCUGCUAUCAAACAUCACUCUACGGCUUGUGAGUAGUGUGCAACUGCAACCUACAACCACAGCGCCGCCUGUUGUUUCAACGUGAUCAUCAUUUAUUGACCCCUGGAAGGAACAUUUAUUUUCCAUCUUCCAUUAAUUGCCAAAGUUAAAACUACAAGGUCAGCUGCUUUAACGUGACCAUUAUUAUAUGACUAUACAGGUCCUUUCCAAAUGUGGUGAUGCAGAUUUGCACUGUGUGUAGAAUGUGUUUGUGAUGAUCACUACCUGAAAUUACUACCUAAAAUGCUUUGCUGCCUUUUAUUUUAUAUGCUAUGUGUACUUUAAUUAUAAUUAAAAUUAUUGCUAACAGAAUUAAGUUUAUGUCACUUAAAGAUGUCAAGGUUGGGAACUGCUGCAUUACACAAUAUAUGAAAAAAAUACAAAAUACAGCUAUCAAUAUGAACUUGUUCAACCUUAAUUUGUACUUUAUGCCUGUGUCAUUUACAUAAUUAUAGUAUAUGUGCCAAAUUUAAGAGAGCAUAUCACAGCAUGAACUGUAUUCUUGUCUCAAAAAUAAAAUGAGGUGCUACCUCUCAAUGGGCUAUCCUUGCAGUACAUCGUCAUUGUCAGUGAUUAAAAGUUAUACAAUCUGUUGAGAACAGGCAGAGGGAGCCACUGCUGAAAGAGUGACACAUCAAACGCAUGUACAGACUAAACCAACAGUCUGAUUACAGCCUUAGUGACAGUUCUUGUUCAUCAGUUGCUUCACUUGAGAUCUCUGUAAGGAACUGGUCCGUCUACUUGAACCAGGUAUGAUUCAAGCCUUGAUGAGUCUAAAUAAAGGAUGUUAUGUCUGAUAAUGGAGCUCUGCGGAUCCUUUGUUUCAAUUUUGGUUUGAACACCGUGAUGUAAAUUUAAGUCAUGUAUUCAUGUCAAUUUGGGAGCUUAUAGAAGGCUCCCCUAAUUUUUUUAUAUGCGCUGUAUCUCUCCAUCACAUUUUAU